CCUACGGGAGGCAGCAGUAGGGAAUAUUGCACAAUGGGGGAAACCCUGAUGCAGCAACGCCGCGUGGAUGAUGAAGGCCUUCGGAUUGUAAACCUCUUUUGUCAGAGAAGAUAAUGACGGUACCUGACCAGGAAGCCCCGGCUAACUACGUGCCAGCAGCCGCGGUAAUACGUAGGGGGCUAGCGUUAUCCGGAAGUACUGGGGGUAACGGGUGCGUUGACGGCUCUUCAAGUCUGGAGUGAAAGGCGGGGGCUCAACCCCUGGAUAGCUCUGGAAACUGGGAGGCUGGAGUGCAGGAGAGGAGAGCGGAAUUCCUGGUGUAGCGGUGAAAUGCGUAGAUAUUAGGAGGAACACCAGUGGCGAAGGCGGCUUACUGGACUGUAACUGACGCUGAGGCUCGAAAGCGUGGGGAGCAAACAGGAUUAGAUACCCCAGUAGUC
rnacentral:rRNA from 1 species